CAGAGCCGUUGCCAGGUCAAUGUUGCCCCCUCGGCUUGGUUCCAACAAGUGGCUGGCUGGACCUCGUAUGCACACGUGCAUGUGGACAUUCAGUUUCUGCUGUAAUGCGUGUGCCAUUGUAAAACAGCUUUACUGUGCAUGAAGCUGACAAACAAGUACGGCACUGACUCGGAAGGGUGACCAGGCAGGUGCUGUGGACAAGGAAGUAGUCCUUCCGGUUUGCAUGCGUCUCAUCUUCGUCGCUUCUGGAAAAGGAAGUGCUCACUGUCAGGUUUCACAAAUAUAUGCAUUUAACAAUACACACUGUUUACACCAUGAUUAAUAAAUUGCCUCACUAUAUCUGGAAGGUACUGUUGCAUAAAUUAUGCUGCACCAAUUACCUCAGAAACACUUGUGAUGACACUCAUAAUAGAAAGCGCUAGAAAUAAUUUUGCGAAAGUUUCAUCCUGAUUGUGAGGGUUUUUUUUUCUUAUAAAUUCUAAUGGUAAUCUUGAACCUUGCUCUCUAAUUUGUGUUGAUUAGUUGCAAAAAACUGUCCAAUGUCAAGCUCCUAGACUUAUGGCAUUUGAACUCUUUUUUGCAAAGGGGAAUGGUUCUAAGAAAUCGAAUUAGUGUCGGGAGUUGCUACUCCAUCUCUUUAUCAUUGCAUGUCACUAUUUUUGAGCAUGGGUUUCUAUGUAGUAAAAUACGAGUCCUGCUCACUCAUCAGCUAAUGCUGCAUCCAAGGUACAAGUUGAGUUGUCUGUCUCAUAUGUUGUGUGAUACCUGUCAGCUUUGCGGGCUACCGGUGAUGCAUCAGGUGAGGCAAGAAAGCUGGCCUCCUGCCUAGAUGUUUGUUGCCGUCGCUUGGCUCCUUCAGCUCUUCGAGCACUAUAACGCCUCUUCACAGGUGUUGACGUCACGGGCUUCCUUCUGCAAACCUGCAUUCCCUUGGCCUUUGUUUGCUUCAUUGUUGUGUUAACUUGAACUCCUGCAUUAAAAGUCACGCUGGAAAAAAGCUAUUGUAGGUGAGAGUUGCUUUAAAUAUUACUGUAAAUGGAAAUGAGGCAACCUGUGAUCAAAAUGAUUAUUCCUUGAAUGUAGGCGUUGAUGCCAAUAGGGAGUAUGCACUGAAAUUCGGCCGCAAUGUGGCGCUGCGGUUCCCCGAGCCCGGCGCCAUGCUUGUGGUUGUGCUGCAACAGCCGACGCAUACUUGCAGCUGUGUUCCAUAAGUGUUGUGUAGUGUUCCCUAGCCUUUUCGUUUCUCGUGUGUUGCAUGUGGCGUUGGUUGUUUGCAAUACUGCUGCGUUGGAAGCUUCCUCUACGGAUACAUGCUGUAAAGAUUUGGAAAAGUGCCCAAACCGGAGCACGUUGCGCGUCAAGCAGCAAUGGUGAACUGCACCAUCUACGGUCGUUCCAACGGGUCAAAAAACAAACCCAACAAUGAGAACUUUCAACUGCUGGGCUUCCACGUCGUGCCCAGAGUUAAACAAGCACAGUGUCUUAGGACAGCGGAGCUAUCGUCAAGGCGCAGAGCUCUGUGGCUGAACAGAAUUCGUCGCAAAGACCUGGACGAAUUGGCGACUCAUUACAGAGUUUGUGGGGCGCAUUUAAUCACAGGUAAGCACGGCAGCGGCAUUAAAGCUUAGUUUUUUAGUGCAAUUCAUUGCGCGCAGCGCUGUAACGUACCAGUGGACUAUAUUUUUCAGGACGACCAGCUUAUUUGAUGGAUGAGGCGAAUCCCGACUGGGCGCCGAGCUUCAAUCUCGGCUACAAGUCCACGACGCACGCUGGAAGAAGCGCAAGCGACAGGUACAUGCGACUCAAGCAACGGAGGCGUGCGAGUUCUGCAGCCAACGCCUUUGAAUUAAGGCAGCGACCGGAGACCACGAGCACGAACGCGGCGCCCAUCGCUGCAGGAACGGCGGCCGAGAUUUCUCUCCCGAGGAGCCUUCAUGCUUGGUAUGUCCAGUUCUACACGACAAUGUAGCCACAGCUCGGUGCCACCUGCAAGCGGAUCUGCAGAAUAACCAAGCUUCUG